rnacentral:lncRNA from 1 species
CGUCGACGAACCUGUGUUGCGUACACGAGGUGGGUUCUUUCCUUCCAACUGAAUUUUCUCCAUACACAUGAGACACGAAUCAAACCUCUGACCUUAUGCUUAAGCCUUUAAGGGGACAACAUCCUUGCUGCUUGUCCUAAAAAAAAAAUUGUGAUGAAAAAGAGAAUAUCAACAAAGGUAAUAAAUUUCGUAAAAAAAAAAAACAAAGGUAAUAAAUCAUGAUCCAAUAUUUAAGUCUAUUAAUUGCCUAUGAAAACAACUUUUCAAGCAUUUUAUUGCAUUUGUAAGAAAAAGCAUAUUGUUAAUGAUUUAUUGCAUAAAAAAAUAAUUCAACCACACAAAAGUCAAAACAAAUAAAAAACUUCACACACAAUAUAUAGACUAAAACAUCUUUGAUUUCCCUACACCUUCCUCUUUUUUUCACUCUUUCUCCAUAUCCCUUCCAAAAAUGAAGUUCCAAGACAAAGAGCAUCUCUAUGGGAACAAUAACAAAAAACAAAUGAUCCCAAAAAUAAUUCUAAUAGCAAUUCUUGUCACAAUUAUUGUUCUUGUGACCCCUUUGUCUUAUCCAUUGUUUGGUUCAUCUUUGAUGAUGAACAAGUCUAUGCAAUCAUCAACCUCAUCAAAUGUUGAUUCAAUUAAGAAAGAAACUUUACCUUCAACAUCUUUGAAAAAUUGUGACAUUUUUAGUGGUGAAUGGGUGCCAAAUCCAAAAGCACCAUAUUAUACAAAUAAAACUUGUUGGGCUAUUC